AGCUCUUGUGAUCGUAGUGAUUCCAUUGUAGACUUUUUGUUAGUUGACACUUAUAAUAUUUCUACUGACAACUCUGACUUGUAUAUAUGAUUUUUUUUCUAGCUAGGUUAUAUUUCCUCACUUAUAUAUACACUAAUCUUUCUUGUAUGCAAAGUUUUAUGGAUAUCUUAAUUAGAUCUAUUUGAUCAAUCAAUUAGUACCGUUGAUUAAUAACUUUAAAAUUUAAAUGGAUGGUUUGGAUAUUAAUAAUAUAUU
rnacentral:lncRNA from 1 species